rnacentral:rRNA from 1 species
AACGAACGCUGGCGGCAGGCCUAAAACAUGCAAGUCGAACGAUCUAGCAAUAGAUAGUGGCGCACGGGUGAGUAACACGUGGGAAUAUCCCUUUCACUACGGAACAACGUCGGGAAACUGACGCUAAUACCGUAUAAUGUCUCCGGACCAAAGAUUUAUCGGUGAAAGAUUAGCCCGCGUCUGAUUAGGUAGUUGGUGAGGUAACGGCUCACCAAGGCAAAGAUCAGUAGCUGGUCUGAGAGGAUGAUCAGCCACACUGGAACUGAGACACGGUCCAGACUCCUACGGGAGGCAGCAGUUAGGAAUAUUGGACAAUGGGGGCAACCCUGAUCCAGCCAUGCCGCGUGUGUGACGAAGGCCUUAGGGUUGUAAAGCACUUUCGUCUACGAAGAUAAUGACAGUAGUAGAAGAAGAAGCUCCGGCUAAAUUCGUGCCAGCCGCCGCAGUAA